GUGUUAAAUCUAUGAAGGUAUAUGAUACUCCUGUGGAGGUGUGGAAAACUUUGUUAUCUUUUCUGUCGAUUCUAUUCUAAAUUUGGAUAAUCUCUAGCUAAUGUACAUUAAUUGCAACAAGUUCUAGUGUCUAUAAUAAACUCUUUCAUCACUCCCUCUCUAAGUAAAAAUUAGAUUAUGAAUCUUAGGUUUGGUUAAAAGGCCAACCAAUUCUUGUAUAUAGGGACUCUAACCAUGUGUCUGAUCUAUGUGAUUGAUUUUUCUCCACUAAAAAUCAUUUUCUAAUCAAACAUAUGAUUCAUGGUGGUAGUAGAUUCUUCACUAGCUAGCGUAGCUUCUUCUUAUGUGUUGAAUUUUGUCUCCCAAC